rnacentral:rRNA from 1 species
UACGUAGGGUGCAAGCGUUAAUCGGAAUUACUGGGCGUAAAGCGUGCGCAGGCGGUUGUGCAAGACAGAUGUGAAAUCCCCCGGGCUCAACCUGGGAACUGCAUUUGUGACUGCACGGCUGGAGUGCGGCAGAGGGGGAUGGAAUUCCGCGUGUAGCAGUGAAAUGCGUAGAUAUGCGGAGGAACACCGAUGGCGAAGGCAAUCCCCUGGGCCUGCACUGACGCUCAUGCACGAAAGCGUGGGGAGCAAACAGG